ensembl:lncRNA
GCAAGGACACAGCACGAAGACAGCCAUCUAUGAACCAGGAGAUCCCCGACACGAGAGCUCAGCAUGGCUUACACCGUGAUUUCAGCCAGCCUUGUGAUAUUCUGAGCAGAGAACUUGGCCAUUCUGUGCUGGACUUCUGACCUACAGAACUUAUCUUCCUGCUUCUUUCAUCAAAAUCACUGUAGUCCAAGUUACCAUCAUUUCAUCUGAACUACUGAAAUAGUCACUACAAAGGCUUCCUGGACCUAAUUCCAAUGUAUGUGUGUGUGGAGGCUUCCCCACACCAACAAGCAGUUCUUGGACACCAACAGAGUGUCAGAAAACUCAAUUCUGAUACUAUCUACCUGAGGUAGAAUCAGAUUCCACAGCUUGGUGGUAGACAGCUGAAGCCUUACUGGCCUGAGGCAUCAGAGGACAGAAUCUGAAGCUGGAAGAGCAGCUAAAAUUUAAGAGAAGAACUCCCAAAAGCAACAUGAUCCUGGAGAGGGUGAGUCCUCAAAUCUGUGUACACACUCUGCUCAAAUACUUGGCUGACUGCUCAUCUAUGCAAAUAAAGGUGACACUCUCAGGGUUCCAGGCUAAGAAAUGAAGUAUUGGGAAGCAGUGAAAAUCAAGCAGAGAUAUCAGCUGUUGUAAAAUGUAUGAUAGACAGUUUGCACUUUGAGUAAGGAGUAGGUAAUUGCCUACUCGAAUAACAACAAAACACAGAAAACAAAAAAGAAAACAACAAUAAACAGCAAUCCUCAGAAGAACACAGCAGAGUACAAUACCUACAAUGCCUAGUUUCCAACUAAAAAUCCUUAGACCUGCCAAAAAACAGGAAAAUGUGACCUACACUUACAGGGAGAAAAAAAGCAAUCAAUAGAAAUUGUCUUUGAAUGGGUCUAGAAACUGUUUUUAGCAGAUGAUGAUAUCAAAACUGCUAUUAUAAACGUGCUCAAAAAUUAAAAGACAAAUGUGAUUAAAUAAUAAAGAAGAAUUUGUCUUCUGAGUGAAGAGUUAGGAAAAAGUCAACAGAAAUGGAAACAAAGAUAUUCUACAGCUGAAAGUUAUAAUAACUAAAAGGGAAAAUUGACAGACUCAACAACAUUUGGAAGUGGGAGAAAAUAAUUAGUAAACUUAGAUAAAUGAAAAUGACCUAGUGAGACAAGCAGAGGAAAGUUUAUUCAAAAAAGAAAAAAAAGGAAAACCUGAGCAGAGCCUUAGAGAGCUGUGAAACAACAUCCAGCAGUCCAACACGUAUAUAAUUUGUGUCCCAGAUGGGAGGAGGGAGAGAAAGGUGCCAGAAAAAUAUUUGAAAUUAUACUAGUCAACUCUUCCCAAAUUUGGUAGGAAAAAAAGUAAAGUGAAGAUUCAAGAAUUUUUAAUAAACCUCAAGCGGGCUGAAAACAAAGAAAAUUCCACUUAGUGCAUUUUAGUCAAACUAAAUGUUAGCUCAGCAACGAUCUUCCUCAAGCAAAACGAGGAAGAUUGGCGACAGAUGUUAGCUCAGGGCUAAUCCUCACACAAACACAAAAAGUGAAUUUUGUAUUUACCUUCAUUUAUGACAUUUCCACUGUUCUUUAUUUCUUGAUGUAGAUACAAGUUUCUCUGUGGUAUCAUAUUUAUGCUGCCUGGAACAUUUUCUUUAACCUUUGUUACAAUAUAAAUGAGCUGGCAAUGAAUUUUCUAAAUUUUUCUUCCUCUGAUAAAGUCUUUAUUUCUCUUUUAUUUUUGAAAUAUUUUUUCAGAAGAUAGAAUUCUUGAUCUUUUUUUCUUUCAGCACUGUAAAGAUGUCACUAUAUUGUUUUCAGGUGUGCGUUCUUUAUGAUGAGAAGUUUGAUGUAAUUCUCAUCUUUGUUCCUCUGUAAAGUGCUGUUAAUCUUUGGCCUUUUAAAAGAUAUUCUCUUCUUUUUACCUUUUGAGUAGUUUGAAUAUGAUAUUUCUGUGCUUGUGUGUUUUAUAUUUAUCCUGCAUAAUGUUCUUUGAGAUUCUUUGAUCUGUGUUUUGGAAAAUUCUCAGCCAUUAUCUCUUGAAAGAUUUACUUUUCCUAGUUCCCUUUCUCUCUCUUUUAAAAUUCAAAUAACAUAUAUGUUAGGUUGUUGAUAUUAUCUCACAGCUCUUGUAUGCUCUCCUUUGUUGUUGUUUUUUUCUCUUUCCUACUCUUUCCUCUUUGUGGUUCAAUUUGGGUUAUUUCUAUUAAUUGGUUUUCAAGUUCACUGAUUCUUUCCUCUGCUGAGUCAAAUCUACUGAUGAACCUGUCAAAGAUAUUCUUCAUUGAUGUUUCUAUGUUUUUCAUUUCAAAUAUGUCCAUUUAAUUCUCUUUUAGUUUCCUCUUUCUGCUGAAAUUUCCCAUCAGAUUAUGAAUUUUAUCCCCGUUUCUAUUGGAACCUUUUACAUGUUUAUCAUAAUUAUUUAAAAUUUUCUGUAUUAAAUUUCUCAUAUUUAGGAAGUCUGGUUUUGUUGAUUGUUUUGCCUCUUGAAAGUGAUUUUUUUCUUGCUUCCCUUUAUGCCUUCAAUUUUUUGUCGAAAGCUGACAUCUUGUGUAGAACAAUAGAGAUUGAGGUGAAUAGAUUUUAUGCCUGGAAAUGGGUACACAAAUUGUUUGUUAGGCCUCCAGUGUGGAGGAUUGAGUUAAUUAACCAGGAACUGAACUGAUUUUGGUCUAUGUUGUUGCUAUGGUUAACCUCUGUGCACCACAGACUUCAUUCCUCUAACAUUACCUUGUGUUUAAGGUGGAGACUGGUUUGCCACAGGGUUUUCCCCAAUAUUUGCUUUUUACUCAGCUUUAGGUCUUCCCUUUGAACUUGUACAUCAGAGAUGGUCUUUCUUUACCCUCUAAGCAGAAGACUGCUGUUACUUGAUGCUUGCUAGUCUCGUGGUGGGGCAGGAAGGGGAAGAUAUUCUCCUUUCUCCUGGUUCAGCAUCAGUCUUAGGUAGGCACUGUAUCUCUGGAUUCUGGUUGGGAGUGGGGAGUUUUCUCAGUGAUCCUCCCCUCUCCUGGAGUUGUGCGUUUCAGCCCAGAAUUUAUUUUUCUCCUCCCUCAGGGGUAGAGGGAUUGUUUGGUUUCCUUCCUUCAGAUACACCAGUGCCAUAAAGAGAACAUCUUCACUAGUGCCCUAAAGGGCAAUGGCAUCUUCUGCCCUUCACCCGGCAGUUUAAGGCUUCCGUCCCCUAAGGGAGAUAGGAGAGAAGAAUCUGGGCAGAGCAUCAUGUUUCUUUUUCAGUACUUUUGCUUAUUUUAAAUUUUAUAUCUGUCUUCUUUCAUUCAGCAGUAUGUUUGAAAUAAUUCCACGUGUUUGGGUAUAGUUUGUUCAUUAUUAUUGCUGAAGAGAGUAUCAUUUAUCAAUAAACUGCUAUUUAUUUAUCCAUCCUACUGUUAUUGGGUAUUUGGGAUGUUUCCAGUUUGGGUCUAUUAUGAAUAGAGCUGCUGUAUAUAUUCUUGUAUAUGAGUUUUGGUGAAUACAUAUAUUUUGUUUUUGUUGAGUAUAUUUAUAUCUAUGAAAUAAAUUGCUGAAUCAUAAGCUUUGCAUAUAAUUAGCUUAAGGAGGCACUGCUUAAAAAUUUUCAGAAUCGUAAUACCAAUAUACAUUCCCACAAGCAAUGCAAGCAAAUUUCCACUUCUCCGAAUCCUUUCCAGCACUUCGAAUUUUCUCUCCUUUUCAUGUAGCUAUUCUGGAGAAUAUGAAAUUGUAAUUAUUUCCCUCAUGACUCAUGAGGUUGGCCAACUUUUCACAUGUUGGCCAUGUGUUAUCCUCUUUUUUGAAUUGCCUGAUUAAGUCCUUUAUUCGUAUUUCCGCAACUGGUGUUUCAUCCGUAUUUCUAUGACUGACACAGAAUACAAAAGUCAGAUAUAGACUAAAUAUAUAUGUCAACUGAUUUAAGAUUCUCUGCUUAGUGGAGGAGGUGCCUUUUCAAUAAACGUGGGUGUUAGGAUUAUAGAUGACUUUAUGUUAAUUCCUAUCUUCAUCUUUUUUAUUUUUUCUAAAUGUUCUACAAUGAAUAUAUAUAACUUUAAUCAGUAAAACGAUUUGAAAACUGAAAAUUAAGUCUUGUCAUGACAUAAAUAUUGUUUGUUGAUAUGUAUUGGUAUGCACACCAUAAUUUUGAUCUAAGAAUUGGCUCAAUCAGCAAAAUGGUAAAAUCUGGCUAGAAGUUUAGAACUUAUUUUACAAGAGGAGAAACUAUGUAUGUUUUAGUCAGUAUUCUUUCUAUCGUGUUGAUGAUAAAAUGAAUAAAUGAAUGAAUGGGUGAAUAAAUACAUGACCCAGAGAAAUUCCCUCUUGUGAUUAAUGAAUAAUCUCUGCACUUACUGCCCAUAAGUGCUAUUAAAAUGUUUAUUUUUGAUGUACUACUAAAUCAUUAGGCUCAAAACUGAGUUGGCUUUAUUGUAAAGGCUAAAUCUAUGGGUUAUGUAAUUUUUGAGUGUAUUAACUGAAAUGGUAGUUGUCUUCUUAGAAAGAAAUUAUAUUCUUGGUGAAUUUUUCCAAAUGUUAUAUUAAGCAGUGCAACAUUUUUAAUAGAGAAGAGAUUGAUUUUUAAAUUCUAACUGAUGGCCUGUCAUUUUUAUUAUCUUCGUUUAUCUCACUAAAUCCCUAUUAAAGAUGUGGGGUUUUUUUUUUUGCCUCGUUCAGAAUAGAAUUUACUAGGACUCAUGUUACGUGUUAUGUAGAGUUUAAAAAUGGUAAACUUUUAAUGUCAAUUUUACAAAAGAUGAAACUCCCUUACAACAUUAAAGACAGGAAUUAUACCUUCAUGUAGAAUAUGAUAUGAAGAUUGUAUGAUUGUUAAGCAAAUGGUUGAUUUACAAUAGAAGGUAUGUUUACUAUAACGUUCUUCCCAAAGUUAAUUAAAAAACCUCUCAAUUUUUGUAGUAGAAUAUGAAAGGUCAUGAGAAAAGCAGAUGGAUUUAUUACCUAAAAUUUAUGUAAAUGGAAUACAUGUAUACCAUCCCACCAAAACAAUUUAAUCUGAUUUAGUUACUGUUAGCACAGAUUAGAAUAUAAUUCACUCAAUAAUAUGUCUGCAAACCCAUUGAUUGUAGACAUUGUGCUAUGGAAAAUGUAAAGCUAACAGUAACUAAUGCUCUUGAGAAGUAUGGUAGUUUUUGCAAAUUGUUUGGAAUUAAUUUGUUUUGAGUAAACGGAAAUUAGUCUGUUAAGUGAAGCUUAUAAAAAAGGAUUACAAAGGGGUAGGAGACCAUCUCACCAGGAUAGCUUAAAACCCACACAUUUGUAUGAGUCAGGAGAAGUACUGUCCUUUAAAAACGAUCUUAUUCCUUCCAAUUGCCUCAGCUUUGUGCCUCCUGAUGUGAUCUGGAGAUCCGGCAAAGUAGAAACAUAUUUAGAAUCUUACUCAUUAGAAUAUUGAAUUCAUCCGUCAGCGGGAUUGACAAGGUUUUAGACAAAGCAUUUUGCCUGGCACACAACCUGUACUGAGAUUUUCCUGUGGCUAUAAUGUAGCGCACCUGACAGAUGUUUGAGUCAUUUAACACAGCAGGAGGUUCUCAUAAACACCACAGACUAGCAUUCAACAUGAUAGGGAUUAUUUUUCUUUUGUCUGCCUGAAGUUAUACAGCCUAUAAUCAACAAAGGAUUUAGGCAUAACUAGCUAAAACAUAGGGUGUGAUAUCAUUUAUAUGUAAUAUUUCUCUUGCUUAUAAAGCUUAGAAAAUGUCCCAGAAGCGGAGAUACUUUUUGACACAGGUGAAACACAUUUUAUGUAUGUUUCCCUUUUCAAAUUGGUUUAGAAAAGUAUCAAGGGUAUUAUUUACUCAUGGAGUAAAGAUAUCACCUAUUUAUUUUCUUGAUUGUUCCUUAAAGACGUAAUGGGCUUUACUAAAUCCAUGUUAAUGUUUAAGUUCAACAUGGGGUGAUAAUGUAGAACAACCACAAGGACACUAUUUAAAAAUUCCCAAUAAGUAUGUGUCUGAAUCACAAAGAGAAAAGCAGAAAUAAAUGCACACCAUCUGUAGUUUUAAAAAUUAUACUCCAUGUCCUAAGAGAUGGAGAUAGAUGCUAUUAAUUUAAAUGUCAUGUUUGCAUAGAAUGAAACACAGCACUUUUAAAUUUGGCUUUAUUAAAGUUUCUUUUUUAGCUCGAGUUUUUCAUUUGGUAAAUAGCAAUUGGAGGAAAUGCUCACUGAUAAAAUUUAUUUAGGUCCUUUGGGGAGCAGAAACAGGCAGGGGGGCACAGCACUUUCAAAACAGCAUUUUAUUGCAUUUACGAAUUAUUACAUAAUCAAAAUAAUCUUGCAGUCUACAACUAUACAGGGAGUUCAAAAAUAGGAAAAUUAACAAUACCUUAAAGGAACAAAUAAAUAACACAAAUGAACCACAGUGCUUCCCUGGAAUCUAUAGCACUUAUUUAAGAAGUUGUGUUUGUAAACAAAACAUAAAUUUGUUGGAGAAAGAUUCCAUUUUAUUUCGCAUAGGUCAUGGCUUUUCCAGUUUGCUUCAGGGUUCAGUGAUUUGCUGGCUAUAGCUGCAUGUGCAGAUGCAGAAACUGUUUCAUCCUAGGAAAUAACCGUAGUUUAGCCUUCAUGUGCCAAGUUAAGUCUGUAGAAGUUAAUGGAAACAUUCUUUAAGGCUGUGCCCAAACACAAGGGAUGGUUGGAAUUCAGGAAAACACAUACAAGUCAGAAAGGUUGAAAUUAGUCCAAAAAUUCAUCUUUCCAAUGUUUUAUUUAUUUCUGUUUCUAGCUACAGUAUUUUAAUUGCUUUGCUAAUAUUCAUACUAUAACUCCUAUAUUUCCAGGCUAGUGACCUAUACUGACACCUGAUUUUUGGUCCAUUGAUAGUGAUAUUUUGAGCAAUAUUUUUCUUAACUAUCUUCAGGAUUAGAUAUUCUGCCUUGCUAGCUACUUUGGAAAGGACUUCUUAAGUCCAAUGUAAUCUGUAUAUGUAUAUCUGUGGCUUUGUUUUCAUUUUAAACAAAUUCAUACAAAAGGGGAGAGAUCAGAGCUUUGAAAUGAUGUAAAUGACAUCCACACUGUGAGUGCUGAAUAUAUGCCAGUCCCCUCAACUUAAAAGAUUUUCUGUCAGAUUUAAGCUCAGCUUCCAUUUCCUUAAGGGAAGGAAAACCUAAGCUUUCUGACUACCUCAAGUCCCCCCAUUAUGUGCUUUUAGAACACUGUGUAACACUUGUUUUUAAUGAGUAUCAACACUGCAGUUUCACAUUUAUUUGUGGUUACUUGAUUAACAUCUGUCUCUCCCACUAAACUCCAGGAUCCCUAACUACAGGGAUUGUGUCUGUUUUUCUCAUCCUUAUAUCCUUGGUUCCUAGCAUGUGAUGGGCACUCAGUAAAUGGUUGCUGAAUCAAUGAAUUUUACAAAGCACUACUCUAUAUUAUUUAUAGAAUUUUUUAAUGUUUAAUUAUAAUUUUAAAACAGUCUAAAAACAUAUGCUACUGUUCUAGCACUUUGCUUUCUGUAUAUUAUAUCAUUUUCACAGACCAAUAAAUAACAUCCUCUCUCCCUCCCCACUGUGGAUUCAGCUGAGAGAUAUAUCCAAAAGUCAGCUAUGGAGUAGGGGACAUGGCUUAAAUGUGUGGCCAUAGUGGUGUUACUAAUUCCUCAUCUUUGCUCAUCUCAACUUACUUACCAGUCUCAGUCAGAUCAUUACUUGGGAGCAAAGUGGAGUAAAAGUUACCUUCAAUCAAUGGAUACCUGAGAAGUGGGAAACACCUCAAAGGGGAAAAUGCUGGGAAAAGGUUUAGAGAUGAUUCAAGAGAUCUUGAAGACAGGGAAAGUAAAUGGUGUGAGAGCAUUAUACCUCAGCAGUCAUUUACUGUCUUCAUCUUUGAAAGAGAGUACACAUGAACCAGAGGCAGUCUGCAUGGAGCUGGGCAGUCUCACAUAGGUAGCUCUGGACCGGAGGCCCACACUUUUCAGUGAGGAGAUGAGCAGCUAGCGUGGCUUCUCUGUCUGGGUAAACAUUCGUGCUCCCUGUUGUUGGCUUGGCCUCCCUGUGGCUCCGAGGCAUAGGCCCCUGAAAUUGUGUAUGAGUCUAUGUGUGCUGACCCCAUUCCUCUCUACCUGUUUCUCUCAGAUUCAGUUCCUGCUACUCCCACCUUUGACUUCCACUAAAGUCACACCCCAUCCACCAACUUCCCGUAUUCCUAUCCUCUAAGUUCAGGUGACUCACCUGUAUUUCUCUAAGACAGGUAUGCGUAGAACGAUCUAGUUCUUCUUUUAGUCUCUCCAAAUUUAGUACUUUUUUGUGAAAAGCUCCUUCUCCUCCUCCUUCUUUAUUCUAAAAAGCCAGCUCUGGAGUGAAAAAUAAAACAAACGAAACGUUAAUAUACCUUGAUCUUUUUUGUCCCCUUUCACUAUAGCAAUCAUACUUCUCUUGAAAGCAAUGGUGAAGCCUUUUUCUUACUGGGGAAAAAUUCACAUAAAAAGAAGUGGGAAAAGGAAAUAACAUGGAUUAGUAUUCUGAGAUAGAGUUAUCUUGAAAAAUAAUAAUGCAGCAAAAUACUAUCAGAUAAACACAAUUACCCUCAUUUUAUCAACAAAAAACUGAUUCACCAACAAUGCAAGUUUGUCACAGUCAUAGCCAGAACUAAGCCCAGAAAUUCUGGCUCCACAGCUAAUAACAGAGUGCUUCUCCAAAGAGGAAGCGCUAGAAUGUUCUCUCUUGCCUCAGAAUUUGCACAUGCUGUUUUCCUUGCCCAAUGCCUGGCUAACCCCUACUAUAGUUGUCUCUUAAAUGGGCUGACGUGUGUGUAUUCAUUGCAUGGAAUGAUCCACUGAUAUGCGGGAAGAAAAUAUAACAACUUCAAUAUCUGUGUUUCAAUCUACAAAGUAGAAAUAAGCAAAACUUUGCAAAUGUGUACUCUGACUUGACCCUGGUACCUUCAGUAGCACACGGAGCCCUUGAUGCCCUUGAGGGUUUUCAGAAAGAGAGGAAGAUCAACAGUGAGGUAAGGGCAUAACAAAACUCUCAAUCUUGCUCUCAUGCUGUAUGGGGCAAUGUUUUACAGUUUAUUCAUGCCCAGGUGAGUGGAUUUAUGGGUUAUAUACUCUCAUUCUUAAUAUACUAAGCCUCACAAAAUGAGAAAGCAUCAUAAAAAUUUUUCUAAAAAACCCCUGUAGACUGAAGCUGAUACUAUUAUUUCAAGCACAAGCAAAUGACAAGAAAAGGACAAAGCUAACACAUCGCCUAUCAUGAGUGUGAGCUCUUUUUUUUCAGUCAUGACACUUGAAGUAAAAGACAAUUAGCAGACAAGAUAUUACUCCCAAAUUAGAAUUCUCAAGAAGAAAAAAAUAGGAUAUUAGCUAUAGUAUUCUUAACAAUAAGCCCCACUGUAUGUGUAAUUUGUGCUUUAUUAUUUGUUAAUUGUUGAUAGUAGUGUGUGUAUAUAAUUUAUAAAUGUAUAUUUUUCAUGGAUGGAGUACAUGAUAAAAAGAUAUUAAUACUUUCUAAUCAUUUAGGAUUCAGUUUAGACAUUACAUUAUUUAGAAAACAUGUGUUGAGCCCAUCCACUGUUCCUUUUCCUGUGGUCUCUUAGAAACUUAUACUUUAUUCUUUCAUAAUACUUUUGCAGAACCUUCUAGAAUCAGCUGUUUGCAGCUACCUCCCCCCUAAGACUGUGAGGGCAGGGACGGUGGCCUACUCAUAUUUGAAUUCCUAUGGUAUUCUGGGAUGACAUGAAAUUUAUCCAUCAUAGAAAGGGGAACUUUGUAGUUGUGUGAAUGUUGUUUCAUCACCUAUCAGCCAGAAAGAAAAGAAAUCUUAAAGGAUAAACAUAGAAGUAUAUUAAACUUUCCUUGGUAUCAACUGAACUUUUCCCAUCAGAAGAAGUUCUCUGAGCAGGUGGAGAAAAGACACUGAACAAACUGGAAGCUGUUAAAAAGAGCACUGCUGAAAAACACGUCACAAAUGACUAACAAAUUGUAAAUGAAAAUUGGGUGACUUUCAGGUGGGAGCUGCUAACAGGCUCCGAGGCAGCAUUUGACCUCUUUUAAUGGAAGUUUUAAGAGAGGACUGGAGGUGAUGAAGGGUCAUUCAAAUGAUGUCGGUGGCUCCUGAGUGGUACUCCUGGUGGGCUGCGCCGAUUGUGCUGAAGGAUGGUGGAGAAGGCACAUCAAUCAGCAGGGCAGAAGCCAACUCCCGAGCCAGUCUCUUUCUGUAGCAGUUCAGAAACUGCACAAAGUACAGCAAGUCAGAUCAUUUAUGUAACUUCUGUUUUUAUUAGGAUGUAAUUACAAGAUCUUACAUUUGCUUAGUGCAUUAUGUUUUAAAGCCCAUUUGCCACAUUAAUCCAUU